rnacentral:lncRNA from 1 species
AAACUCCCACCAUCCGUCUCCCGGGCACAUUCCAUCGUCGGACGUCGCAGGGGCUGUAUCGAGUGGUGUUGCCAGUGGCAGGGUGGACCGAACAAAUCAAGAACAAAGAUAUCGCAUACUUGACAUCCUACGAACGAAGCACAGGCGGUGUUGCAUCGCGUACGAGAGAAGCCUCACCGGCGACUCGAAGCUUGAUACAGUCUCUACGUUUGAGAUGACAAUGGAAUGGAGGGCUGAGGUGGCUGGUUCUGAUGACAUUGGGAGGCUAGGGGCACUGAUGACUGGAAGCUCUGCGAGGGCUCUCUGCCAAUCAGCGGUUUGGUUUGUAGACCGUAUCGAAACCAAAGUCUUUUUUGCAAUAAAAAGUAUAGAUUCUUCUUAGCGGGCGUCCAUUCAUUACGUGUGGUUACCUAGGCGAUCCCCCCCCCCAAUCUCACGCGAGAUUUUUCAAAAUGCGUAUUUUUAGUGUAAAUACGUUGACCUGUGCUUGACCGCGUUGAAUUUGUUUAAAAAAAACAUAAUUUGCUCAAUUAUUUUUAUUUAAGUCUAGUUAACACUAAUAUUUUCAGGCAGAACGUAGUGUAGAAUCACAGUCGAGAAAAUUGCAAUAAAAUACUUGAAUCGGAACUGUUAAAAUUUGUAAAAGAAUAUUCAUUGUAAUUCAGUCCGCGGUGACUCGUGUGAAAAAACGUUACGUGACAUUUGCCGAGACCCCCACUCUCCCCCGCGUGAAACUGGGCUAGACCCCCCUCCCCCAACAACUCGCGGAAUUAAUGGACGCCCCCUUAUCUCGCACAUGUCUACUCAUGUGUUGAGAAUUAGCAAUAGAUGCGGAAAAGUAGUAUAUUGAUCAUUAAAUUCAUAGAUUAUUUUCAGAUCUAUUGUAGAGUCAAUGAACACACUUCACAUGUACCACAGACAUAAUUUUUUAUAAUUCUUAAGACCAACGUAAUCGUAACUCGUUAAUUAAAAGGAGAAAAGAAAUUGUUAUACGCCUGUUUUUAAAAGAAAACUAUUGUAAACAUAUAUAAUUUAAUUCAUAUUGAAUUUUCUUUUUGUUGUGUAUAAUUCUGUUUUAUAGAUGGAGACCAAAGACUCGAUAAGAGAAUAUUUUUACAAAAAUAAAGAUGUUACAUAUUUAACAAGCAACAUUUUUUUUCUAGUAUCACGAUAAUUUUAUUUCUUGUACUAUUAAUUCCAUAAAUCCUUUUCAGUACGGCAGUAAACCCAUAGAAAAUUGCGUUCCGAGCCAAAACUUGGUACAAAGGUCACCCCGGGGCUGUGAAUGUGUCUGGUUGCACUUCCACCGAAUCAAGCGCACGCCGCCGGGCGUUUUUUAAAAAACGAAAGGGAUAUUCUGUGUUUCUAGACAGCCAUGAGGCAGACUGGCUGAAAUGACACCUCAAAACUCUACACCCCUGAUUCGCAAGCGAGAACGCAUCGCAUAGUAAAUCAUCCCUCGUUUUGCCGCUGAUCCGAGAACAAGCCAGAAAACUAGGGGGAAUACCGGCGGUGAGCUGUUCCUAUGUAACACCCCCACCUCCCCCAGGAAAUAUGGUAUUUUCUCAGGUCUGACGAACGGCACGGGCAAGCUGAAGUUAAAUAGGUCUUUUACAUGCCAGACUUACGGGUUCAUCCCACCUAACGUCGCAUGCUGAUCGAUCAUCCCUCAUCACCGAUUGCACGAAACUCAGUCGAACCGCAGUUAUUCAGGAACGCACCAGUUUCAAUAUCAUUCUAGGAUAAAGAAAGUGCCAGGUAUGGGAGUGUAUACCAGAAAUAAGUGUAUCUCCUAUAUUAAUCGAGUCGUGUCUAUAAAGAUUGUCGAUUGGCAAGGUAUCGUCUUUUGUAGAUUUUUUAGCAAAUGCACAAUAUUAUGUAAUCAAGUUGAAAAGUAUGGCAAAUGCAAUGAUACACGGAGUAGCCUAGAUAUGAGCCCUGCUUGGGCGACAAAUAACCAUGUUUUCACAGAUUCGAACCAAAGAAGCGCGAGUUGAUUCCACCUGGAUGAAUAAGAUUGCGCAAAUGGAACAAUAAUAUGUUGCAGUUAUGUUGGGGAAAGAAUGGUGUGAGUGUUUUAGAUUGCUGAAUAAUGGAGACUAUACAUGAUGUCGCAAAUAUGGCCAUCAAGAGGGAAAAAGGAAAAUUAUACAGAGGUACCGGUUAUUUAGACAGCGUUUCUUGCGAUUUUCAUUGCCCUAGCUAAUAUGGACAAAUAUCAAAUUUUUCGUGCAUCAAGUGAAUGAUAUAAGAAAAUGUGAUGGGUGAUCAUUUUGGAGACAAUGUUCUUGGAUAUCUGACUGACUGGCACAGUAACCAAUAUCGUUGUUCUUGUUGUUCUUGUUGUUGUUGUUGUUGUUUUAAGCUAUAGGAAUCCCAGCAGAAAUUAAGCGAGCAAGUCUGCAAAUUUUAUUGCUACCUACUAGCGUCGACAGAGGAUGCGAGGGGAAUCUCCACCCUGCUUCCACCCUUCUCUUCCGCUACCCUGGAUAGGGUUGGAUGUGGAUUUGCUAUUUGGUGUCAGAUAUUCUCCGCAAUAUAAAAAUUUGGAUUGUGCAGAGGCAGAACAAGAAGGCAGCCGCUUUAUCAGCUUUCAAGAAAGCAAGCAAGAAGUUAUCAAAAAUUAUGCCUGGUAACCUAAAAGAAUAGUAUCUAUACACAUAAAAUAUAUAUUUAUGAAUGGUUCGGCGACGGCAUGCAGAGACAAAUUUACUGCUGCGUAUCGACAUUUUUAUGAAGCUGGGGAAACAGAGCUAACGAGUUUGGACUCAUCCACCAACCAACGUAGCAUCUUUUUAUAUACCAAUUUGAGAUCUGUGUAUGCAAUAUUGAUACCUACUGCGUGAGUUGAAAAUUAAUGGGGCGGCGGGUGGGGCUUCACAUACCUUUUGAUUUUCGACUGUAGGAUUGCCUGCUUGGUCAAGAUAAAACAUAUGAAUUGGACCCUGAAACAGUACCAAGGGUCGAGCCAUGGUAGUCCAAGCUGCUCGACAAGGUGUCAUACAAGAUAUUCAUCCAUUCGCUUACAAAAACCAGGUGUUAUUGCCAUCAGGAGAACAAUGAGAGGAGACCGAGGCUAGAACUGUUGACAAAGAUUUAAAAGUUGCUGAUACUGGAUAUUGUGCAGUCGGAGAUACGAAAGAUAACGUAUGUGUUUGAACGUAGAUCACCCCAGUCUUUACAGAGGUAAAAGGUCAAUGAUUGGUUGUAAUAAUUUGUGAAAACAUAUUUGGGGGGGUUGGGGCAAUCAAUAUGACAAUUUAAGCUUCAGGAUUGCUGUCGAAUUAGGGUUAUUGAUCCUGGCAGCAGAGUUGCGAGAAUAUCGGUGGCGAGAGGGUUCGUAAGGUGUAACGAGGUAACAGAGGAAUGAAUAUGGCUGUUUAGAGCGGAAUAUUACUAUCAUUAUCUGUGCAAAUAUUUGGGGCGGGGAUGGGGAAAGUCAACAUUCUCAUUUUGAGCUACAGGAAUACCGACCGAUGCGAUAGCGACGCAUUGCGAGAUACGGCGCAUGGAUCGCUGGGCUUGACGUACCAAUUGUAUGGCGCAUUCCCCUGAACGAUUGACGAGGUACCGUGAUCAAUACUAAAUAAUUCUGAACAGAAGCAUAAGAGUAAAAUACCGGUUGAUCGCAGUCGGGUGUACACGGUAAUCUAAAGAUAUUUCGCUGCAUACUAUCUCGUUCAACAAUGUAAGGUGAUAGACGUAAAUUCUUCGCAAUAAGGUACAUUAUACGCAACAGAUGCCUCUUGGCGGAAAUUUAGGUGUACAACAGAGUAUGCAAACUCGUGGAGAUGUCAAUCUCGGAAGUUGGGAGCAGCAAUGUUUGAUUUCUUUUCUAGAAACUAAAGGGAAAGCAGAUAGCGCCUCACCUGUCUUUUAACCAGCAUGACGUGUUAAUGCUUUUCGACAUGGCACGAGUCCCUGUGACAUACAAACAGUGCUCAAUGCAAAAUAGUACAGAUGUUUUCUUCCUUAGAAGCUCUGGUGAAACAGUGCGGUGGAGUUGGUUCAGUUCUGUGUAAAGUUGCAUGUGAUUACGUGGGCAAGUCUUUCAAGCGAUGUGUAAAUAUUAAAAAUUGCUGUGCGGCUAUGAUUUUGCUAGGUAUUGAAGGCACAAAAAAUUAUAUGUAAUCUUCUUUACUGGACUAGCUGAGGACUGUGGCAUUGUACUUUGUAUAUAAUAUGGCAUAGCUCGGCAAAAUUAAUCAGGUACGCAAGAAUCAUCCUCGUGUUCCUGGCACAAGUAAAUUAGUUGUAUCUACAUAUCGUGGCACCCAAUUUGCAAUACUCUGUACAGCCUAUGGACAUUAAGUAUGAUCGGAUUUGAAGUGGCAUAGCAUAAUUAGGCUGUUAUCGGUGAGUGAUAUGGAAUGCAAUUAUUAUAAUUUACUGUCCGGCUUUAUUGCUGUUAAUUGUUCUUCAGAAAUAGCGAUGCGCAUAGACGUACGUAGAUGCAUACAUACACACCUAUAUAGACACAUACGUACGUGCAUACAAAGUUACAUUGAUAUACCCACAGGCGUAUGUGCAUAUGAUUGUGCUUAAUAACUAUAGUUCUGCCUCUGGUUAUAUACAAUUUCACAAUAAUUGUGUAGCAUCGAUUGUAAGGAACUCACUCUUAGGAAUUGAUCUUUUGUAGUGCUGUGUAUAUUUGUAUUAUUUGAAAACGAUGUGAAUAAAUCGCUACUAUGCGCCGGUCGGCAGGGAGGGGAGGGGGGAACUUGGGAGGCUAAUAUCUUUAUCUGUAGGUUGAAGAACUUUCAGAAGGAAAAACGUGUGCUACACUUUCAAGGAACAAAAUAAGAUCUUACACGUCGCGUUUGUUGAAGAUUUCAAACUGCACAAUCAUUUACCUAUUGACGAAAAUUGACAUAUGAUGCACUUCUUAUCGAUUGACGUCUGUGUAAACACAAGGUGAUACCGUCACUGAGGUAUUUUAAAUGAUGUAAAAUAUGAGACGCUUUGAUCCAGACUACAGCAAGGAAAUAUGGAUACGGUAUAUCCCUGGAAGUAUUUCAAAUUUAUUCACAUGAACAAUUGAAUCAAAGGAUGAAAAUUGACAUGACUAAAUAAUUGUUUACUCUCCAGAUAAAGCAUUAAGCUGUACGGUAACGGUUAACUGCAACAUUACAUCUUUCCCAAUAGUUAUAAAUUGAUAGACAAGCGAUAGAUCCCAUAAAGAUGCUCAGGAUUUGCGACCAUGCUGGACAAGAUCAAUAGUACCAUACAUGCAUGGUUAAUAGAUAUUUAUGUACCUUUAGUUAUUGCACUGUUGGUGAUUCGCUUGAGGAUACUUUGGAGUAGAAAAUGCCUUCAACUAACGGCCCUUAGAUUGAUGUGUGGGUGACGAGAGAUUGGGAUGAUUUUAAAUAAUGAAGAAGCUGCAAUGUAAAAGACUGAACAAUUGGGGUUGACCUGUAUACCACAAGGAUAGUCAAUUGAAAAUAUUCUGGAAUGGUCAGGUACAAAUUAUACAUUUUAUCAAAAUGGGAAACUCGUCUAUGCUGCUGAUUCAUGUUAGAAAUGGGUCCUUGAGAAGAAACUGAAAAAUAGAGGUGAGACGCGCUCUUUUUAUAGUUCGUUGUCUUUGCUAACCGAGUUUUUUAGAGUUUCGGAGAAUUCCCUGGGUCAGCCUUACAAGAAAGGGGAUGAAUUCGGUCAUCCAACUAUGUUCCAUAGGGGUUUGGCUGCAAUAUUACCUUUCGGAUGUUCCAGCAUCGCUUCCCAUCUCUUUCGACUUUGCCGUUCUGAUUUUCAGUCUUCUGAAAUUGGAAAUCAUCUAUUUCGCCUUACCUUAGCGCAUUUCCAACUUUGGACAGUUGGAUUAUCGUCGUAGCGCAAUUACUCUGAAAGUAGAUAGGGAGUUGAAUUGAAACCUUAUUCGCUGAAAACAUCUUGGGAAGAUUGAUCAUUCUCGCGGUUCUACUGUGGGGUGGCAACUUCUGGUCCGCCAGCUAGUUUUCGUCUCAUCUCUGCGGACUUGAACCUCGAUGCAGAGUUCCAGCGCUAGAUUCUUCUACACCAUAUAGUUACAGAUCUCCCCAGAUUCUAUUGGUCUUUGUCGUUGAUCUGAAGGUUAUCUUCUUUCUGGUUCCCAUUGUAUUCUGUGCGUUGAGGUGUUUGACGCUUCUGAGGAAAAUUAACUUCUAUUUCCUGAUUUUACAUCAGUGAUUUUGGAUUUACUUCGAUAAUAUUAACUUGGAGUGAGGAAAGAAAAACAUGCGCAAACUGGGGGUAAAAGAAAAAAAAAAUUAUUGAAAACAUUGACUCUAAAAAAAUUAAUCAUGAUGAAAAAAAAAUAACACAUUGGAGCCCCCAAAAAAAAAAUUAUAGCGUUACAUGAAAAGAUCACGGCCCAGCAAAAAUGCCAUUACGAAGCAAGUAAACAAAAAAGUAUUUAAAAAAAAUAAGGAAAUCAAAAAUUUAAAUUGUAUCACAAAGUACGGAAAAAAAAGAGCAUGAGCUGGGUCACUGAAAAUUGCUUUGCUGGUGAAGGGGGGUAUUUUCAGGUGAAUCGUACAGAAGAAUGGACCCAUCGCAGAAGAAAGAAGACUACUGAAGAAUGAAGAGGAUGCCAUUCUAGGAGGAUGACAAUCUACGGGAAGAGGAUACUACUGAGGGAAGCGAGUACCAUCGAGGAGAGAGGCCGCUAUCCGCGGGAAGGGGACACAUCAAAGGAAGACGCCAUCAAAUAAUAAAAAAAAAAAAAAAAAAAAAAAAACUGGAAAGACAACACUGUCGUAGGAGAAGAACGCCGUUGAGAGAAGAGGACAACAUCGCGGGAAGAGGACGCCAUCGUGGGAAGUGGACGCCAUCGUAAGAAAAGGACACCAUCGUAAGAAAAGGACACCAUCGUAAGAAGAGGACACCAUAUUAGGAAGAGGAUGCCAUUGAGGGACGAGGGGGCAAUCGAUGAAGGAAGACGCUUUCGAGGGAACGGGACGCCAUCGAGGGAACAGGAUCGUCAUCGCGGGAACGGGACGCCGUCGAGGGAACGGGACGCCGUCGAGGGAACGGGACGCCGUCGAGGGAACGGGACGCCGUCGAGGGAACGGAACGUCGUCGAGGGAACGGAACGUCAUCGAGGGAAAGAGACGAGAUCCCGGCAAUGGGACGCCAUAAAGAGAAGAAGAUGCUGUUGAGCGAAUAGGACCCGUCAAGGAAGCACGACGCCAUCAAGAGAAGAGGACGCUAUUAAGAAGAUCUGAUAAAAAUCAAUUUAAAUGCCAUAACGUUGAAAAUUUAUUGUUGACAAGAGAAUUGUUCAAAACAACGAACCACCACAAUUUCUAGAAUUCAUAGCUUGUAGUUUAAACAACCAAUCACUAUCAACUGCAUACGGUUCAUUGGCUCUUUACUUCCAAGUUGCUUCACGAAGAGUCUGUGACAACCAGCAAAAAAACGAUAGGCGCGAAAAAUACUUCGAUGCGAUAGAUCCAGAACACGUAUAUCUUUGAAAUUGCGAUUUUUGCUGCAUAAUUUUUUUGAUCCUAUAGAGAAUACUCUCAUAGCCUGGAGUUACCAUCUUCCACUAUUGAAGGUACCUGGAUUCCCCUGCCUAUGACUUUGUGCAGCUAAAGUAAAUACCCGUCGAGUCGAUAUUCAGGAAGGAUCAGUUAUCUAAAGCAUCAAAUUUUCGGAGUGGGACGGGCCCUGAUCUUCCUGAGGCAGGAAAGAUGUUCCCCAAAAGUGAGGGGUUGCAGAGUUCCAGCACAAAAGCAUCUUUUCUCAAACAAAACAGUCGUUGGUGAUACUCUUGGCAUCAGCUGAAUCCGAUAUCUAGUUUGGCUCUUUCAAACCAGUAAACUUUUACUGCCGAGCAUCUUAAUCUCAUCUGCAUCUGGAGAUUUUUCAACAUUAUCAGGGAAGAAUUACCAUCACCAUCAAGGAAACAGUUUUGACAUUUUAUAAAUAAGCUGACGGGUUCUACUACGUAGAUGAUACGUUUUUGAAGGUACAUCGCGUGAAGUUGAACAGUCAAUUACUUGACUGCUUAGUAAUGCGAAGCGGAUAUUUUGUGAAAGAUCAUAUAUACUUAUGUAACGUAACAAAGUGAAUGCAAAUGUGAAUAAUCUGAGAAAUAUCGAAAAGCAAAUGAUUUAUACUUAAUCAAAUAAAUAAACAAAAUAAAAUA